rnacentral:rRNA from 1 species
ACUCAAAGGAAUUGACGGGGGCCCGCACAAGCGGAGGAACAUGUGGUUUAAUUCGAUGAUACGCGAGGAACCUUACCCGGGCUCGAACGGCUAGUGAGUUUUGAUGAAAGUUAAAAGUCCGCAAGGACACUAGUCGAGGUGCUGCAUGGUUGUCGUCAGCUCGUGCCGUGAGGUGUCGGCUUAAGUGCCAUAACGAGCGCAACCCCUAUCUUUAGUUACCAUCAGGUUAAGCUGGGGACUCUAGAGAGACUGCCACCGUAAGGUGUGAGGAAGGUGGGGAUGACGUCAAAUCAGCACGGCCCUUACGUCCGGGGCGACACACGUGUUACAAUGGGGGGGACAAAGGGCCGCUACCAGGCGACUGGAUGCUAAUCUCCAAACCCUCUCCCAGUUCGGAUCGGAGUCUGCAACUCGACUCUGUGAAGCUGGAUUCGCUAGUAAUCGCGCAUCAGCCAUGGCGCGGUGAAUACGUUCCCGGGCCUUGCACACACCGCCCGU